rnacentral:rRNA from 1 species
GACGAACGCUGGCGGCGUGCUUAACACAUGCAAGUCGAACGGAAAGGCCCUGCUUUUGUGGGGUGCUCGAGUGGCGAACGGGUGAGUAACACGUGAGUAACCUGCCCUUGACUUUGGGAUAACUUCAGGAAACUGGGGCUAAUACCGGAUAGGAGCUCCUGCUGCAUGGUGGGGGUUGGAAAGUUUCGGCGGUUGGGGAUGGACUCGCGGCUUACCAGCUUGUUGGUGGGGUAGUGGCUUACCAAGGCUUUGACGGGUAGCCGGCCUGAGAGGGUGACCGGCCACAUUGGGACUGAGAUACGGCCCAGACUCCUACGGGAGGCAGCAGUGGGGAAUACUGCACAAUGGGCGGAAGCCUGAUGCAGCAACGCCGCGUGCGGGAUGACGGCCUUCGGGUUGUAAACCGCUUUCGCCUGUGACGAAGCGUGAGUGACGGUAAUGGGUAAAGAAGCACCGGCUAACUACGUG